UCAGUUUCACGUGCUACUGAGCAGCUUUCCAUAGGAAGCCCUGGGAAAGGAGACAAGAAAAACAACCUUGAAAGAAGAUCAGCAGCAAAGAACACAUGGAAAAGAUAAUGCCACGUAGAUGCAAUGAAGACAGAAAGAGCUUUAAGCCUCAGUAAGGAGCAUAAGCCUGCCCCAGACAAGCAGUGUCUGAAGAUACAGAAGUGCCCUGAACUGAGAUGGAAGAGUCCUAGGAGAGCUGAGGAUCACCUGCUCCGUUGGGAAGAACCAAUACAGACCCGUAGCAUCGCUUUUGUGGCAGAUACCAGCAUGACAACUUGCACACAGUGCCGGGCAAAGCAUGCUCAAGUAGGAGGUGAGUCCUGUGUCCUAGCUGUUCUCCCCAGAUGAAUUAACUCCUCUCCCCAGGGCCAGCAGGCAGCUUUUGCUGCCUUUCUUCAAAAAGCAGUUGGUGCUUAGCUGCAGUUGGAGCCUUUCUUCCUGACCAAGAGAAGGCUGUGGCAUGCUCACCACAUCACCAACAGCUGGCACAGUCAAGCUGGAACGUGGAUUCCUUUUGCUCCAAGAUGCCCAAGCACGUUUCUGGACUUGCAGGUACUUGCUGUUUAAGAACCCAUAACUCAUCUUUGCCCAUGUUCUGACUUGCUGUUUGGGACCAUCUGGGGAUACUGCAACUGGAGCACAAGGAGUAAGUGGCUGGUUUUUCAGAUUGCCCUUCAAAAGAACCAGUCACUGGAGUUUGCAUUCAUUACCCAUCAGUAAACCGUUAUGGGAGGAAAGCAGCAGGCUUAAAGCACAUAAUUCUCACAGCACAUUUGGAUGCACUCUUGUGCUCCUUCUCCAGCAGCCUGUGCUCCCCUCACCCUGGAGCUCUUUCCUGAGGAACAGCCGGGCAUAAAUUCCACAUCACCAACAUGCUGUGUCAUUUCUGCUCUUGGGAAUGAGAUCUGGAGAAAGCCACAGCUAACAAAGACAAUACAACACUUGGUUAAUUUAAGAAUCUCACUUCUUAGCAGACAAAAGGACAGCUCACAUGGCUCCUCAACCCCUGCUUUUCACCCAGGUCCUUGUUGGGAAGAUCACACUGCUGUGCAGCCAGUGCUGAGAGGCAACAGCUGACAGUCACAUUCAUGUCCUAGCUGCAUCACUCCUCUCAUUUCAGCGCAUCACAGCUGGGGAAGGAAGUGUCCUCCUGCUGUUUCCUUCCCUCCCUCCCACUCCCUUUACAAAUUAUGUUCUUGUACCACCUUAAUCUCUCCUUCUUUUUACAGACAUGAUGAAAGUAUAACUCUGACUACUUAGAAUAAUACAUUCUAUUUGCAAGGCUAUAAAUCACUGCCACAAAUCAGUAUGAGUAGCACUAUUAUAAUAUGAAUAAAUAUUGGAAAUUGAAGGUUCCAUCUUCCUUUUCUUCUCCUGCAGGAUGGGGUGACUUGUAGGAGUGCUAUAUAUUCACAGUAUCUCCAGCUAACAUGACCUAAGGUGCUCGUGUGCAUUUUUACACAGACUUCAUCCAUUUACAUAUGCACACAUAUAUCAA